rnacentral:misc_RNA from 1 species
AAAUCACUAACCUCAAUCUUUGAUUUCCAAUUCACCAAUUUCUUCACUUUCUCCUUUCUCUUUGUUCUUCAAUCUCCUUAUCUUUGGUGAAUUAGAAGCCUUUGAGGGUUUUGGGUAGAAAUUUAUGGGGCAAGGUCAAGUUAUUCAAGCUUGAAUAAUUUGUUAAUGGAGGAAAAACCAUGGGGAGAGAGAGGAUUGGGGUUCAGCCGGCUGGUUGGGGGAGAAGGAAAUGAUUUUGUUCUUUUAAUUUUUAUGUUUUUAUGUCCAAUUAAGUUAAAUUUGACUUGUUCAAAAAUUAAGGUAAGUAAAAUUUUAUUUUGACAUCAUAUAUGAUGUCACCAAAGUGAUGUAAUAAUUCCAUUUGCAUUUACUUUUCUUUUUCCUUUAAUUUCUACUCU